UACGAAGGGUGCAAGCGUUGUUCGGAAUUAUUGGGCGUAAAGAGCUCGUAGGCGGUUUGUCGCGUCUGCCGUGAAAGUCCGGGGCUCAACUCCGGAUCUGCGGUGGGUACGGGCAGACUAGAGUGAUGUAGGGGAGACUGGAAUUCCUGGUGUAGCGGUGAAAUGCGCAGAUAUCAGGAGGAACACCGAUGGCGAAGGCAGGUCUCUGGGCAUUAACUGACGCUGAGGAGCGAAAGCAUGGGGAGCGAACAGG
rnacentral:rRNA from 1 species